rnacentral:tRNA from 1 species
GCGAGCGUGGCGGAAUGGUAGACGCGCUGUCUUCAGGUGGCAGUGAGCGUAUGCUCGUGGGGGUUCAAGUCCCCCCGCUCGCACGA